rnacentral:lncRNA from 1 species
GGAGGAUCCCAGAAAAGGACUGAAGAUCACUUGGUAUGAGAGGUAGAAAAUCCUGGUAUCAAAUUCUGAAACCAUGGCUAAUGGCUGCAAACUGUGUGCUACAAUCUAUCCUCUGUUGGGGAGUUCACAUGAAUUCAACUUAAAGAAAACCCACUUAUUGGAAUAUUUGGAAAACAUGGAAAAGUGUAAAAAUGAAAAUAAAAAUUACCUAUAAUUGGAUAAAUCAGAGAUAAAUGCAGACAAC